AACAUCGCGCACCUGCGGGAACCUGCGGAGGGAUCAUUACAAGUGACCCCGGUUUACCACCGGGAUGUUCAUAACCCUUUGUUGUCCGACUCUGUUGCCUCCGGGGCGACCCUGCCUUCGGGCGGGGGCUCCGGGUGGACACUUCAAACUCUUGCGUAACUUUGCAGUCUGAGUAAACUUAAUUAAUAAAUUAAAACUUUCAACAACGGAUCU
rnacentral:misc_RNA from 1 species